GAGACCCACGCCACCAGUUGCCAGCAUGUCCUCCGGGAUGAUGGGGACACUGGUGGGACCGCCUCUGCUAAAGAGGAGGAAGGAAUGGGCAACGGUAGGUCAGCAUGCCCCGAAUUACCCGGGCUACACGCGGGCUACAAUGGACAGGACAAUGGGAAUCGACACCGAGAGGUGAAGGCAAUCCCCUAAACCUGCCCUUAGUUCGGAUUGUGGGCUGCAACUCGCCCACAUGAAGCUGGAAUCCGUAGUAAUCGCGGAUCAACAUUCCGCGGUGAAUAU
rnacentral:rRNA from 1 species